AAUAUUAUGCCUGAUUAAAGGAAUAAAUUGUAAAUUUAUCUAUGAAAUUAGUUUUUCUAAUAUUA
rnacentral:tRNA from 1 species